CGCGCCCGCCCGUGGCGGGGGAGUCAACGAGUAUGGCAACGUGGCCGCCAUGGCUGUGACGCUGGCGCAGACGCUGGGGCAGAACCUGGGCAUGAUGUGGAACAAGCACCGCAGCUCGGCAGGUGACUGCAGGUGUCCAGACUCCUGGCUGGGCUGCAUCAUGGAGGACACAGGGUGAGUGCCUGUGUCACACUGCCUGGGGGAUGUGGGCACUCGGUCUCCCAAAAAUAGGGAAACUUAGCACCUCCCUCUCCAGGUCGUUUUUUCCCUCUCUUGCCCCGCGCACGGAGUCUGCUAGCAGGAUGCACCCAGCAUAAAGCAGUUAUGAGUACUGCGUGCAGCAGGGUUCAACACGCUGCCCUGAGCAGCUCUGCACCUCACGGUGGCACCCAGAGGGCUGGGGCUGGGCAGGGA